rnacentral:rRNA from 1 species
UACGUAGGGGGCGAGCGUUGUCCGAAGUUACUGGGCGUAAAGAGCGCGUAGGCGGGUCCUUAAGUGCGGGGUGAAAGUCCGGGGCUCAACCCCGGAACGGCCCUGCAUACUGGGGAUCUUGAGUGCGGGAGGGGCGAGUGGAAUGGUCGGUGUAGCGGUGAAAUGCGUAGAUAUCGAUCGGAACACCCAUGGCGAAGGCAGCUCGCUGGCCUGUAACUGACGCUGAGGCGCGAAAGCGUGGGGAGCAAACAGG